UACGAAGGGGGCUAGCGUUGUUCGGAAUUACUGGGCGUAAAGCGUGCGCAGGCGGCUUCUCAAGUCAGGGGUGAAAGCCCAGAGCUCAACUCUGGAAUUGCCUUUGAGACUGAGUGGCUUGAGUACGAGAGAGGUGAGUGGAAUUCCCAGUGUAGAGGCGAAAAUUCGUAGAUAUUGGGAAGAAACACCGGUGGCGAAGGCGGCUCACUGGCUCGUAACUGACGCUCA
rnacentral:rRNA from 1 species